rnacentral:tmRNA from 2 species
GGGGGCGAUCUGGUUUCGACAAGGAUAAUGAUAUAGAAAAAAGCAUAUCGAGAUCUGGUUAACUCGUACCAAUAUUCCAGAAAAUUUAAAUGCAAAUGAAUCAAAAUACGCUCCAGUACGUUUGGCAGCAUAAAUUUAUUAGUCACAUAUAAAGGACUAGCUCCAUCUUUUUGUUCAUUAGAUUGAUUAAUGGAGUAAAAGAAAUAAUGAAAUCGCAAUAGUUAAAGUUACUAAACUAUUGUUAAAAAUAGUAACUCGUCUUUUUUGAAGUUUGUGCAUUAUCUUUAUUUAAAGAUUAAAAAAAUGAAAAUAGCACUAAAUAUGUAGAAAUGUCUAUAAAAUAUUCUUGGACGCGGGUUCAAUUCCCGCCGCCUCCAUAA